rnacentral:misc_RNA from 1 species
GAGAAGAACGCAGCGAAAUGCGAUAAGUAAUGUGAAUUGCAGAAUUCAGUGAAUCAUCGAAUCUUUGAACGCACAUUGCGCCCGCUAGUAUUCUGACGGGCAUGCCUGUCCGAGCGUCAUUUCAACCCUCAAGCCCCCGGGCUUGGUGUUGGGGAUCGGCGAGCCUCCGCGCCCGCCGUCCCCUAAAUCUAGUGGCGGUCUCGCUGUAGCUUCCUCUGCGUAGUAGCACACCUCGCACUGGGAAACAGCGCGGCCACGCCGUUAAACCCCCAACUUCUGAACGUUUGACCUCGGAUCAGGUAGGAAUACCCGCUGAACUUAAGCAUAUCAAUAAGCGGAGGA